rnacentral:rRNA from 1 species
UACGGGAGGCAGCAGGGGGAAUAUUGCACAAUGGGCGCAAGCCUGAUGCAGCCAUGCCGCGUGUAUGAAAAAGGCCUUCGGGUUGUAAAGUACUUUCAGUCGUGAGGAAGGUGUUAAGGUUAAUAACCUUAGCAAUUGACGUUAGCGACAGAAGAAGCACCGGCUAACUCCGUGCCAGCAGCCGCGGUAAUACGGAGGGUGCGAGCGUUAAUCGGAAUUACUGGGCGUAAAGGGCACGCAGGCGGUUAAUUAAGUUGGAUGUGAAAUCCCCGGGCUUAACCUGGGAAUGGCAUUCAAGACUGGUUAGCUAGAGUCUUGUAGAGGGGGUAGAAUUCCAUGUGUAGCGGUGAAAUGCGUAGAGAUGUGGAGGAAUACCGGUGGCGAAGGCGGCCCCUGGACAAAGACUGACGCUCAUGUGCGAAAGCGUGGGGAGCAAACAGGGAUUAGAUACC